AUACGGAGGAUCCGAGCGUUAUCCGGAUUUAUUGGGUCUAAAGGGUGCGCAGGCGGCCAUUUAAGUCAGCGGUUAAAUCGUGGGGCUCAACCCCAUUCUGCCGUUGAUACUGGGUGGCUUGAUUGCGGUCGAGGUUGGCGGAAUUCGUUGUGUAGCGGUGAAAUGCAUAGAUAUGACGAAGAACACCGAUUGCGUAGGCAGCUGACCAGACCGCAAAUGACGCUCAUGCACGAAAGUGCGGGGAUCGAACAGGAUUAGAUACCCUGGUAGUCCGCACAGUAAACGAUGAAUACUUGUUUUCGGCGAUAUAAUGUCGGAGGCAAAGCGAAAGCGAUAAAUAUUCCCCCUGGGGAGUACGCCGGCAACGGUGAAACUCAAAUGAAUUGACGGGG
rnacentral:rRNA from 1 species